UCCCCACCCGCUCCCCAAGGCGCUUCGCUGCGGUAGCGCUCGGCGCUUCCUGCCAUUGGGCAGCACGGCGGGGCGGGCUCCGCACUACUACCGGCGGCCAUGCGGAGGGUCAACAGCUGUCUGUCCGCUGAUGAUGUCCUCCUGGAGGAUUUGGAGACGGAAGGAGAGAGGCAGCUGAAGAGCCUCCUUCACCAUCAGCUUGACACCACUGUCUCCAUUGAACAGUGCAAAUCCAAGCGACGAUGUUUUGCCCCUGCAGCUUUCUACAAGCCCUUUGGAGAGGAGGCGGCAGGUGCUCUAACUUUAUCACAGUUCCAGGCACUGCAGGAGAAUGACAAAGAAACAGCUUCUCUCCGGGAACUGGGGCUCUCAGACUCAGAGAUCCUACUAUGGAAGAACCAGGCUUCAGCAGAGAAGGGCUCUGGUUUGGGGGCAGCCCCCGAGGCCAUGCAGCAUCGGCUGCAGGCCAUCCAGGAGAAGAUCACAGAACGCCAGCACAUCCUCUCCCUGCCACAGAGAUUUGCUGGCAGCAAACAGCUGAGCCGGCGGGAGAUGGAGAUUGAGAAUGCACUCUUCCAGGGGACAGACCGUCAUUCCUUCCUGAGGGCACUCUAUCACCAAGAUGAAGCUCAGAAGAGGCUGGCAAGUGAGAAGGACCCAAUGGGUAACUUGGAGACUGUUUAUCAAGAGAUGCUAAGCAAGCAGUUACCUGAAGAAUGCCCAUCUGUAAAGGGUGAUCCAUGCUGGCCUUGCUCCCUGGCCCUAACUGGACCUGUGAAUAAAGAAACAAGGCUACUUUCCAAUCAGGAAAAGAAGAUAGAACAUGAUGGAGAUCCCAGCCUCCCUGCACCAAAUCCUGUGGAAUCUGAAGCCCAACAGCCCACCCCAAGCCCCAUGGCUAUAAAGGAGUGUGUGGAUUUCAUUCCAGAAGAGGAGAUCCAGAAGAACCGUCUCUCAGAGGAAGAAAUCCAGAACAUUCCCCGGUUUGCCUCAUACAGUCCAGGAAAGCCAAGCAAGGUGCUGUAUCUGAAGAAUCUAAGUCCCCGGGUGACAGCGAGGGAGCUGGUUUCCUUAUUUGCUCGAUUCCAGGAGAAGGACAGGCCACCAAUUCAGUUCCGCCUGCUGAAUGGCCGCAUGAGGGGCCAAGCCUUCAUCACCUUCUUCAGUGUGGAGGUUGCCCAGAAGGCUUUGCUGCUGGUGAAUGGAUAUAACCUGCAGGGGAAACCAUUGGUGAUUGAGUUUGGGAAGAACAAGGGGCAGUCAAGUUCUGACUCUGCCUCCCCCAGUUGCUGUGCUGUAAACAGUGUGGGUAGCUCCACUGCCAAAUAGGGGACAAAUACUACACCGGGUCUGUGUUGAUUUACUUAGACUGUGGUAACUCUCCUGUCAGAACUGGACCAGCAAAGGACUAUCCCUGUAUAAAUCUCAAGGUUAGACAGGAGAGACUUGGAGGCUAAGCUCCUUUCAGUGAAGUGCUGAAGAAAGGUAGAAAAGCCCCCUCAAGACAUGAUGGGACAUCAGGAUGGUAGGAAUGGAACCAGCCCCUCCUAGCACAAAGCACAUGGGGGUGAGGUCCAUAUUUUGACUGUUUGGUUUGAAGGAGUCUGAGGAUCUUAUGUUGAUGUGCCUUGCUUGGGCACUGUGCAAAGUGUUCCCAGGGGUGAUACUGGGCUGUAUUUCUUUCUGUCCAGAUUAUAAACAGGCAACUUUAGCAGUGUUUGGAGAGGAUGCCUAUAUCCCACCACAUUCAGAUAUGUGUUAAUUUUUCCCUCCUGUGUUAAGCCUAUAUAUUGGUUCCACUAUCCAAAUACCUUCUAUUUAGGAGGAGGGAAAUGUGUUUUAUAAAUAUAUUUUCCCAGGAGAUGUCCUUCUUUCAUAGAUGAUUAUGUGUCUCUAUAACUAGAGAGCUGCACUUGUUAUCUUCCCUGCUCUGAGGAAACCAUUUUGGAGAUGACAGGAGCCUUUGGUUUUCAAGGCCCAGAUGUUAUCCUUUGCAAGUAACAGGUGCUGAUAACAGAUCUCAGUGCAUCGUGCCUUUCUUCACCUCCCUUUCAGGAGUCCCAGUUGCCACAUAGAAUAGAAUAGCAAUGGCAAAAAUGUCCCUGCUCCUUUUGCUCUUUUCCACAAUACGUUUAACUGCAAAGUACCAUACUAGUGGGAUUUUUCCCCACUGGUAUGUCUUCCUGACCACUCACUCUUGUACCACUAAUAAUAUCCUGAAGUAUGAAGACUAGUAGUUCUUGUGAUUGUUCCCAGUUAGUACCAGUGCAGGUGCAGUAGUUGAUAUAAAUAUCUUGUUGCUUUCUAAAAAUGAUGCCAUUUCCACUAAAAUGAUGCCUCCAUCACUAAAUAUGGCAGGAUAAUGUCAUGCUUCUUUUGCACCAUCCCAGCUGUGCCUGGAGAGACGUGGCUGAAAUCUUCUUGCCUGGUGAUUUGAAGGAACCAACACCUUAUUAACAAAGUGAGCUGUAGAAACUGCCACUCUUAUGAAGAGCAUCAAUUCCCAAUACCAGCUGGGUCUCAAGCAGCCAGUCAGGAGUCCAGCUGUCCGCAGCUUCUUUCUUCCCUUGUUAGUUUUUUUCCUUGGCUGUCAGUUUGACUCUUUUGGCCAUUGUCUUCCUUGUCAGCUUGUAUUAGCCUUGUACCAUGUGAGUGCAAAUGCUGAAUGGAGGAUUGUGUGGUGCCAAGGGGAAAUUUGGAACAACACAAAGGCAGGACAUACAAGUCCGCGGGUCCUAAAGGAUGCUCUGCAAGCUGCCUUUUGGCCUCUGUCUUGGCAGACUUUGUUUCUUCCAACAUAAAAUACUUCAUUCUCCCAAACAGCAACUUAUUGGGCAAAAUAUCUCAGAACCAUUCUAGAAUGCUACAGACACUUAAGGCCUCAAUAUGUGUUCACCCUGUCCUGUUGGGUUCCUGUUGCUACAGAACAUUUGUGUGUCACCAAAAGGUGUGGUUCUGUGGGUUAUUGCAGACUGACUUGAUUGAAGCAAAUGGCAUGGGGAUUGAGAAGAUGGAACCUCACAGGAAGUUGGGGAUGAGCCAGAGGUGUAUCUGGAUUGUCCACUUUUGUUUCCUUUUGUCAAUAAAGCUUUUAGUGUUUUCAUGCCCAUG